rnacentral:rRNA from 1 species
GAUGAACGCUAGCGACAGGCCUAACACAUGCAAGUCGAGGGGUAGCACAGAAUAGCUUGCUAUUUGGGUGACGACCGGCGCACGGGUGAGUAACGCGUAUGCAACCUGCCUAUAAGAGGGGGAUAGCCUUUCGAAAGAAAGAUUAAUACCGCAUAAUACUAUUUACCUGCAUGGGUAAAUAGUUAAACUAUUUGGCUUAUAGAUGGGCAUGCGUUCCAUUAGAUAGUUGGUGAGGUAACGGCUCACCAAGUCAGCGAUGGAUAGGGGUUCUGAGAGGAAGGUCCCCCGCACUGGUACUGAGACACGGACCAGACUCCUACGGGAGGCAGCAGUGAGGAAUAUUGGUCAAUGGGCGAGAGCCUGAACCAGCCAAGUCGCGUGAAGGAUGAAGGUCUUAUGGAUUGUAAACUUCUUUUAUAAGGGAAUAAAAAAGACCACGUGUGGUUUAUUGCAUGUACCUUAUGAAUAAGCAUCGGCUAACUCCGUGCCAGCAGCCGCGGUAAUACGGAGGAUGCGAGCGUUAUCCGGAUUUAUUGGGUUUAAAGGGUGCGUAGGCGGUUUAUUAAGUCAGUGGUGAAAGUUUUCGGCUCAACCGGAAAAUUGCCAUUGAAACUGAUAGACUUGAGUGUAAACGAGGUANGCGGAAUUCGUGGUGUAGCGGUGAAAUGCUUAGAUAUCACGAAGAACUNCNANUUGCNAAGGCAGCUUACUAGGCUACAACUGACGCUGAAGCACGAAAGCGUGGGGGAUCAAACAGGAU